AGUUUUGGUGCUGGUUUAGAGCCAGUGUCAAAUUUUGAAGCAGUUCUUUAUGUUUCCACAGACAAAGAAUUGGUUCUGAUGACAGACACUGGUACCAAAUA